GACGAACGCUGGCGGCGUGCUUAACACAUGCAAGUCGAACGAAGUGGCGAACGGGUGAGUAAUACGUGGGUAACCUGCCCUCCUUUUUGGGAUAAGCCUUGGAAACGGGGUCUAAUACCGAAUAAAGGGGGAUGGGCUCGUGGCCUAUCAGCUUGUUGGGGGGGUGAUGGCCUACCAAGGCGGUGCCGGGUAGGCGGCAGGAGAGGGUGACCGGCACCAUUGGGAGUGAGAUACGGCCAAGACUCCUACGGGAGGCAGAAGUGGCGGAUAUUGCACAAUGGGCGAAAGCCCGCUGCGGGGACGCCGCGUGGGGGAUGAAGGCUUUCGGGUUGUAAAGCUCGUUCGCUAUCGAAAGGGUAGGUGGAGAAGAAGCGCCGGCUAACUACGUGCCAGCAGCCGCGGUAAUUC
rnacentral:rRNA from 1 species